UACAGAGGGGCAAGCGUUGUUCGGAAUUACUGGGCGUAAAGGGCGCGUAGGCGCCUUCUAAGUCGAACGUGAAAUCCCCGGGCUCAACCCGGGAACUGGCGUCCGAUACUGGAAGGCUUGAAUCCGGGAGAGGGAUGCGGAAUUCCAGGUGUAGGCGGUGAAAUGCGUAGAUAUCUGGAGGAACACCGGUGGCGAAGGCGCAUCCUCGG
rnacentral:rRNA from 1 species